rnacentral:rRNA from 1 species
AUGUCCUCAUCAGUUGAUAAGCAUGACAUUCGUUAUGGUCCAAUGUUAAUCCGAGAUCAGGAGAGGAUGGCGAAUCUGAACUACGUCUACAACUGCAGUGACACAGAGGCUCUGUGGAUGCUUCAAAUGAAAAGAGCACCUUUCGCCUGGCUUGUGCAGACCUUCAGGAGUGGGCUGGUACAAGAUAGCAUUCACACCAGUGUGGAAGAGCAAGUAAUCAUGUUCCUCCAUGUUGUUGGUCAUAACCAGAGGUUCAGGAUUAUGCACAACAGGUUCAGGAGAUCAAUGGAGACCAUUUUCAGGUACUUCAGGCAAGUGUUGUAUGUUGUUGGGGAACUCAGAGGAGAAAUGAUCAGGUCACCAACCGUCUGAACUCCUAGCAAGAUUCACACUAGCCCAAGAUGGUAUCCAUUCUUCAAGGUGAGCACUGACAAUAUGUAUUUCAUGCCUUCAUAUGCUUGCAUUAUUCUGCUAUAG